AAACAUGGAAAAUGAUUGUUUCUUUCUUUUCUUUUUUUCAAUUAAACAUGUUGUGGCGGGCAUAUGAAAGGCAGCCUCACUUGCAGCCCGCCCCGGGGAACGCGCGAGGAACGCGGGAGAACCGGUCACGCAUGCGCCCAUGCCCCAGCCAAGCUCCGUGCUCGGUCCUGCUGCUCCAGGCUCCCAGCUCCCGCCGCCGCGCCGCACAAAGACCUGCUUUGUUCUCUCGGCUCUGUUUUAAAUAUCUGACGAAUAUUGCCCCAUCCCUGUGCCAAAUCCCGCGGCCUGGCUGCAGGCCCGGUACAAGGGUGCAUUGUGGGGCCAAGCGAGGCGCGAGGGGGCUGGAGGAGAAGUAAAAAUUGGAAAAUGAGGGCCCUGGCAGAGAGCAGAUCCUAUAAGGAGACGCGGAAGUUUGCUGUGGGAACACUAACCCAUCACGAGCCCGACCAGCAUAGCUGGAGGCGUUGACCCGCAAAGCCCCACGCUUGGUUUCUUAUCUGACCAUCGCUGUACAUAUUUAGAAAGUGCUUAUCACUCGGACUCUUUGAAAAGCGUGGCAUUCCAGUGCAAACCAACCCCAAUGGGGGGCGGUGGAGGGGGGGCGGUCCUUCCUCCCUCAAGCUCAAAGGCUCAAGAGGCCAGAGCUGACUGCCUGCAGCCAUAGACCCACUGUGGCCUCUUGAGGAAAACCACACCUUCCAUGGUACAGCCUCUCCCUCUGGAGAGAUGGGGUGAUUGUGAUGUAGGUCAAACAAAAGUGGGCUUUCAGCUGGCACGGAGUUGUCCAGCUACUCCCCCUGCCCGUCUGACUGGCCUGCACUGGGAACUGCAGGUAGUCCUUCCAGCUCAGGUGUUUGGUUCCCUGCAGCUGAGGGUGAAGGAGUUCUUGCGUUGUCUCUAGGGAGGCUUGCUUGCUAAACAGGAAUCACAAACCCCACCUGUCUACCCAAGCGUCUUAUUUUCAGGUCAAGGAAAAACUGUCUUCCAAAGUAGGUCUUGCAGACUCAAAUUCAAAAUGCGGGCCUUCGAGACUCUGAAAAAAAAAAACUUUUGGAUCUGCCCUGUCUGAUCUCGGCCCGCUCUGGAAGGCUCAGCUCAGGCUUUUGGCUCCCCACCUGAGCACCAAUAGCCGUCACUACCUUGCCUGUAAGAACACAGCAGAAGUCGGCCCAUUUGUCCUGACUCCCCUACUUUGUCACCUGUAUCCUUCCUGGGAAUCUUCUUGCCCACUGUAAUCUCUCCAGUCCCGGAUUUACAACACCGCUCCUCACAACCCCCCCCCAUGGCCCUCUACCAACCCUUUUGGUGAGUACAUCCACUGUCCUCCAACCACCGACUUCUUGCUAAAUUCUUCCCCACUCUCCUCAGGCACAAACAACCCAGAAGUGCUCUCAGAUCCAAGCAUCACUCAGGGAGGGCGGUCAAGUGAGCGUAAGGACUGUUCACCCUCCUGAGGGUAUGAUGUGAUGUCUGAGCAGCCACUUCAAAAACAUUAGGGCCUGUUCCAGGGAUGCCACCCAGACAGGAUACUGCUCAAAGCUGCCUCCCAUCCUGGGAACAGAGGCCAAGAGCUCUUGACAAGGACACUUAGCCCUGCUGGGUAUUGAUGAUGUCACUUAGGUCAGCCCAGAAUGAGGAGGGUCUGAGCUUUGUUUUGCUCUUCUCUGGUCCAACUUUGACUACAUACACUGUCCCUGCUGCCCUGGCCUGACAGUGGUUAGCAACAGUCUAAUGGAGCCCGAGAGAGGCCACUCAGAGGAGCCACCUUUGGGCCGCCUUCUGCCUUAGUGUUGUUACCAACGGUUACUUGUGCUACCACCUCCUGGCGAAACGGCUCUGGCACACAGUAGCCACUUCUGUUCUGUAGGUCCUGCGAACUCUGAGCUCCC